rnacentral:rRNA from 1 species
CCUACGGGUGGCAGCAGUAGGGAAUCUUGCGCAAUGGGCGAAACCCUGAUGCAGCAACGCCGCGUGAACGAGACGCCCUUCGGGGUGUUAAGUUCUGUCAGUGGGGACGAAAAAUGACGGUACCCACAGAGGAAGCACCGGCUAACUCCGUGCCAGCAGCCGCGGUAAUACGGAGGGUGCAAGCGUUGUCCGGAAUCAUUGGGCGUAAAGAGUUCGUAGGCGGCAUGUAAAGUCAGGUGUUAAAGGCGCAGGCUCAACCUGUGUAUGGCAUUUGAUACUUGCAAGCUGGAAUGCGGGAGAGGUAAAGGGAAUUCCUGGUGUAGCGGUGAAAUGCGUAGAUAUCAGGAGGAACACCGGUGGCGUAAGCGCUUUACUGGGCCGUAAUUGACGCUGAGGAACGAAAGCGAGGGUAGCAAAUGGGAUUAGAUACCCCAGUAGUC